rnacentral:rRNA from 1 species
GAGUUUGAUCAUGGCUCAGGACGAACGCUGGCGGCGUGCUUAACACAUGCAAGUCGAGCGGAAAGGCCCUUCGGGGUACUCGAGCGGCGAACGGGUGAGUAACACGUGGGCAACCUGCCCCUCGCUCUGGGAUAACUCCGGGAAACCGGGGCUAAUACCGGAUACGACCCUUUUAGGCAUCUUUGAGGGUGGAAAGUUUUUCGGCGAGGGAUGGGCCCGCGGCCUAUCAGCUUGUUGGUGGGGUAAUGGCCUACCAAGGCAGUGACGGGUAGCCGGCCUGAGAGGGCGACCGGCCACACUGGGACUGAGACACGGCCCAGACUCCUACGGGAGGCAGCAGUGGGGAAUAUUGCGCAAUGGGCGGAAGCCUGACGCAGCGACGCCGCGUGA